GGGGUAUUAGUCCAAUAAAGACAGCUGAUUUCGACUCAGCUAAUCAUGGUUUAAGUCCAUGAUACCCCU
rnacentral:tRNA from 1 species